rnacentral:rRNA from 1 species
CAGUCGCCGCGGUAAUACGGAGGGUGCAAGCGUUAAUUGGAAUUACUGGGCGUAAAGCGCACGCAGGCGGUCUGACAAGUCAGAUGUGAAAUCCCCGGGCUUAACCUGGGAACUGCAUUUGAAACUGUCAGGCUGGAGUCUUGUAGAGGGGGGUAGAAUUCCAGGUGUAGCGGUGAAAUGCGUAGAGAUCUGGAGGAAUACCGGUGGCGAAGGCGGCCCCCUGGACAAAGACUGACGCUCAGGUGCGAAAGCGUGGGGAGCAAACAGGAUUAGAUACCCCUGUAGUCCCUGUCUCUUAUAC